CAGUCGCCACGGUAAAACGGAGGGUGCAAGCGUUAAUCGGAAUUACUGGGCGUAAAGCGCACGCAGGCGGUCUGACAAGUCAGAUGUGAAAUCCCCGGGCUUAACCUGGGAACUGCAUUUGAAACUGUCAGGCUGGAGUCUUGUAGAGGGGGGUAGAAUUCCAGGUGUAGCGGUGAAAUGCGUAGAGAUCUGGAGGAAUACCGGUGGCGAAGGCGGCCCCCUGGACAAAGACUGACGCUCAGGUGCGAAAGCGUGGGGAGCAAACAGGAUUAGAUACCCCGGUAGUCCCUGUCUCUUAUAA
rnacentral:rRNA from 1 species